AUAAACGCUGGCGGCGUGCUUAACACAUGCAAGUCGAGCGAGAAAGUCUCUUCGGAGAUGAGUACAGCGGCGGACGGGUGAGUAACACGUGAGGACCUGCCCUUGAGUGAAGGAUACCCUCGAGAAAUCGAGGUUAAUACUGCAUACGUCCCUUCGGGGAGAAAGGUGGCUUUUAUGCUGCCGCUUAAGGAUGGACUUGCGGGCUAUUAGCUAGUUGGUGAGGUAAUGGCUCACCAAGGCGAUGAUGGCUAGCCGGCCUGAGAGGGUGUACGGCCACACUGGAACUGAGAUACGGUCCAGACUCCUACGGGAGGCAGCAGUGAGGAAUAUUGCACAAUGGGCGAAAGCCUGAUGCAGCGACGCCGCGUGAAGGAUGAAGGUCUUAGGAUUGUAAACUUCUGUUAAGUGAGAAGAAAGAGCCAUCUCUAAUAUGGAUGGGUGAUGACGUUAUCACUAGAGAAAGCACCGGCUAACUUCGU
rnacentral:rRNA from 1 species